GGCGUAGACGGCAUCCGUCGCAUCGAAGAAGCUCCUUGCGCGUAUGUCGAGAAAAACUAUCAAUAACUUGCGGUUGCAACCCUCGAUUGGUUGUCGGUAUGUAAAAUGUGACUGGCGGGGUGAGACGGAAUGCGUUUAGAGACAGUGGCGAUGGUGCGUUUCGCGGUUGAGCAUUGAGUCACUUUUGCGGUUAUGACCAUGGAGGUGGUAGAAAAAUCAAAACGGGAGAAUGACAGCAGCCCAGUUUCAACGGCCGCUUCGAUAACCUGGAACGAGGAAGAGGAGGAGAAAUCGGCUGGCGUGAGUAAUUCGGAAAAAUCGGAAACCCCGAACACCGACUCACCGAGGGAUGAUAACGCCCAGGUAUUCGCCGAGGCUAACGACCCCGCGAUCUGCAGACCCUCCCCGUCGCGCUCGGAUACCCCCGAGGAGGAUGUCGAGGACGAGAAAGGUGUACCCCUAUCCGGACCGGAGGACAGGGCUGUGGCAGACAAUGCCGAGGAUUCGACAACCCCCCGCAAAGAUGACGAGAGUCCGGCGAGCGAAGAGCCGUCGGGAAACGUUGAAAAAUUGACUGCAAAAAACGAGACGGGAGAUUCGCGGGAGGUUAUCAGCGGGCCUGUUACACCCCAGCAACCCCUGACAUUUACGAUAAACUUCGGGGACGACAAGGAGGUCGACACCGCGCGAUAUCGAAACCUCUUCGAAAGAUACAACGCCAGGCAUAAACGGAAUUCGUCAACCUCAAAGGUUGAGGUGAAGAGUAAAAAAGCGCCCGAGGCACCGGUCUUGACGAAACAAAAGACUCCAAGUGCGCACUCCGAAGGCUACUUCAGUAGCGAUCCGGAGGACGACACUAGGCGCAAAGCCGACCAACUGUCUCGGAAACUCAAGCAAUUGGGCCUAAAAUCCGUUUCGAAAGUCCCUGCGGUUCCCGAGAAAUACGACGCGGGGAUCAUGUCUCGAUCGUACUCGGAGCAGUCGACCCGGGAGUCGGAGAUUUUGAUCGCCCACGAAAAAGUCCGCUCGACUAGAGAUAAUCGCCGGGCAAAUCGUGCCGAUAUGUCUCUGGACCUUCAUCACCCUGCAAACAACAUCUACGACGGUCAGAAGAGAAGAGUAACGGCGCACAACUCGAGCCUCCAUCAGAACGGCAAGAAUCGUGACCGGGAACCUGAGUUUGUGAAGACCGAUAUGGUUCGACCAUCGAUGCGCGAUACAGAGAUGAGAUACGAGAGGAAUUUCACCUCCGUGAACAAUUCUACGGGCCUCCGUCACCGCGAGGAACGAGACAAUGGCUUUCAACGGUUUGCGGAUCUCGAUGAAAAAUUAUCAAGCGAGAGCUCCGGGUCGGAUCGGUUUUUUAAUUAUGAAAACGCUAAUAUGGAUGAGCGUGAAAUUCGCGGAUGCGGACGGCGAUCUCAUAUGGAUAAUGUUAAUGGUCAGACAAAUUUGGAUGCGCUUGAGGUAAGCAAUUUUGACGAGGGUUCCGACGGUGCCGUUAGCGAGGCUGGAACCUACACCAUACACAAAGAUUAUACGGAUGAGGAAAAGGCCAGGAUGGAUAUCGACAGAGUAUUCGGUGUCGGUGUUCUCACGGAAGAAGAAUCCUCUGAGGCGUACGUCCACAGCUUCAAGAUGAGUAUUUCUAGAGACAACAAUUGGAUAUCCGAGUGGGCGACACAGGUCGCAGAACACAACUUGUUACCGUCUGCAAUCGGCGGGAUGGAUGUGAUCUCAAAAGGACUUGUCUCACCACAAAGUCCACAAAGUCCUUCCAAAAUACCCUCGCCGAUUCAUUCUCGGUCCCGAAGGCUGUCCAGGGGUCGUCAAGACCAAAGUGACAGCAGUUUGGAAACGGAAUCGUAUCUUCGUGCAAAACCUACAGCAGCUGCAUCGCCGUCGCCCCACAACGAUCGGAUUAUUGUUGAUUCAGGGGGCGAGUCGGAUGAUGAUACUAGCCGCAGCCACAACACACCUCCGCAAAGUUUGCAGCGGAUAGGUUCGGCUCGUCGUGCAAGUCUAUCCGACAUGAUGUUUGCACGAAACAGUAUUUCCGAGGGGCGACGUAGCGCGAGAGCCUACACUGGAUCUGAGACAAGGCUAAGAAAGGACCGAAUUGUCACUUUACAAGAACCUCUGCGAAGUCCGACACACGUCUUGGCCCGCCUGCAGCUAGGAAGACGUAAUAGCUCGCUUGACAGGAAGGAGUACGCCUCUGACACCCCAGAAUCCAACUGCACUUCUGGUAGAAGCAGCUUGAAAAGCUAUCUGGAUGGCACCAUAGUUCAUCCCGAUAGUCCAGUUCUAGCACGGGUCAGAACACCUACUGGAAAACUUACCACCAACAGCCCUAUUAUGUCACGUAAAGAAAUUACACCAAUGAGAACCAGUGAGCUUGCCAAAGCGCCACCUCAGGCAAAAAAUAUUGGUUAUUUUACCUGCACGGAAAACAGUCCCUAUAUGCUGCGAAAGUCUCAGAGCACAACAAGUUACGGUCAUCGGGAGGACUUUGGUUACCGAGAUCGAAGUAGAGAAUCUUGUUUAACGUCUGUUCAAAGCUUGCAUCAGAAUAGUCCCGUACCACGACGCAGCAACGAUGUACAAAGAUCUGCAAGCACCGUAUCAGUCAGAAAUCCGCAAGUUACAAAUCUGCUCACUAGGCGCGGCAGCUUCAACAACAACAACAAUAACAAUACAGUCAAUGAUAGAACGGCAAUGGCAGCUAUUACGGGGAAAUUUGCCAUCGCAUCAGACAGCAGUAGUGAAGCUGGGGACAAACCAGUUCUGAAAUCACCUGUCCCGCCUCUUUCAUCAGGCAUAAAACUGAACAGAGCAUUUAGUAUACGGAGAGCUAGACUAAACUGCGAGCAUGAAACAACGCCGAAUACUACACCAGAGGAACGACGAAGGAAAGCACAGGUUGGCGAGAUACGGGGAACCCAGGCUUCGACACAAAGUCGACAGACACCAAACCAUCAUCGUGGGAGGUCUGCUGGAAAUACAGUCUUUAACAGCAAAGAUACAUUCAAAAGACCUGAACCACCAAAACCUAGAGCACCGUCGAUGUCUCGUACCGACAGUGGUAGGAUCAGUACUAAGGCGCCGAAAAAUGUUAAUCAUGUGCAGCAUUUGCGAUCGAAUCAAAAACUGACAAAAGAUGCUCACAAAAAGCCUGGUAGAAGCAAUUCGACUUUGACUUCGAAAGAAGUAGAAUUUCAAAAUUGGAAGAGACGCAAAAGUUAUGAUCCAAUGAAAGCCGCAGCUGAGGGAAAGAAGAAAAUGGACUCCUCAAAAAAGCAGCCCAGUAUUGAGGAUGGCUCUCACGGAUGCGAAAGCUCUGUUCUUAGAUCAGCAAGUUUUCACGGCACAGGGGGAACUCUUUCACUCGCUGCCGAAUGGUCAGAAAAUGAUAACGAAUUCACAGAUUCCAAUGAAUACAUUCGACCUCCUCCCCCUUCAAGCCCUCAGUUGGGAAGUGACAGCGAUUUUGAAACAUCGUCAUAUCUCCGCACAACUGAAAAUGUUGUGUCUGCAAUGUCAGCACGUAUGAUUGUGCGUCAUCCACCUCUGGUUGAUUCUGGAGGAGAAAGUGACGAAGACACGAGUCGUAGUCUCCAUAGGCCGACGCACAGAGGAUCGCUGCACCUUUCCCGCGGCAGUGAUACCGAAAGUAGUGACGAGCCACAUCCUCCGAUCAUUCAAUCGCCUGUCGCAAACUUGAACCACUCCAAGAUCGUCCCUAGCAUACGUAAAACUCGGACUGGAAGUCGAGAUAAAAAAACACCAAUGUCUCUAACAAAGCCAAAAUCUUCACCACGGGAUGCUAGAGGAAACGUUGACACAACAAAGGUUGUUGCAAGGACAGAUUCGGGUCGAUUCAGCACACGGGCACCGAAAAAUAUCAAUGUGGUCACCCAGUCAAAGGGAAAAGAUAGUAAAAAGUCUGCUGUCCCAAGUUCGAAAGAGGUAGAAAUGCAGAACUGGAAGCGCCGAAAGAGCUAUGAUCCGAUGAAAGCGGCAAUGGAAGGUCGGCGAAAAGUUAAUCAAACAAAGAGAAGUCCGAACGUGAAUUCAUCGCCAAGCCACGUACUGAGGUCGCAAAGUUUCCAUGGCUCAGUGGGACUUGGUGUAAGUGACUGGAGUGACGAAGAAUUAACAGUUUCGGCAGAUGAGGCAUCUCUGUACUGAAUGAGUCUGAAAAUAACUGUACAUCAGUGACAACAAUUACAAUUACGAGACUCUUAUUCCCGUUAGAAACAAAUAACAAAGAUACGUGAUAUAACGGAAAAGAAUCUGCGACGUCCGUCCACCCGCCCGAAGACAAACGCAUUCGAUUGAAUUGAAAAUUUUUUAUGUUUCAAUAUUUUUUCUGCGUAUUUUAAAUUUUACGUGUGAUUUAUUCAAAAAAAAAUGUUAAACUUUUCGAGAAUAUGUAGUACAUGUUCUUGUUAUGUCGUCAGAAAAUUUAAGACGAGAUCUAACUAUCAAAGAAUUAGUCUGGCGCACGUAUCAGAUGAUGUGAAUUGAGAGGAUAAUCCACUACUAAAACGUAAAUAUUAUAUUCUGAUUAAUCAAAACCAUGUCAGUUGAACGACGGCGCGGUGAGACCGUCAGGUUUACAUUCUACUUAACAGUAGUGAAUCUGUCUAUUAAAAACUACAUAUGUGUAGGUAUUAUGUAUAUACUAGAAUAUGGUCUACUGAUCAUGGGACUUGGUUUAUCUGAAAUGAUAUUUGUAUGUGUAUAACGGUCAGUGAAUGCUUUCAUUUGUAAAGUUGCAAAUAUUAUACAUCAUAUUAUAUUAUGUAUACAUCUCUGAAUAUAUAUAUAUAUAUAUAUAUAUGUUAAAUAUAAUAGUAUCAUAGUUCAGUAUAUACUUGUACAAAAACGGCGGAUUAUUAUAAGCAUCAUAAUUCAUACGUACAUAGAGAAUAUUUGUAGAGCAAUUUUUCGGUACGGCUAACAUGUGGUAGAAUAUAAGCACUUAUUUAUGUUACAGUAUGCAUAUAAUAGGUAUAUUAUACAAUGUAUUUACAUGGAAAAAAAUGAUUGUUAGUCCAAUUGAAUAUUUCUUUGCGGGUGGCGAAAUUGUACAUUUUGUUGCUUUUAAUAAUUUUUUUUUUUUUCAUUCAUUUUGAAAGUACAAAAGGCUGGGCGAGUUAAAAAUUUGUUUUUCGUCAUUCGCAAAAAAAAACUUUUCAUUGGAUCAAAUAACUCUUUCUCUCAAUAUAACUAUGUCGUCAGAUUACUCGGCGCUAAGACAACGAAUGUCUCUCUAAUUCUUCCUAAUCACCGGGCUUCCUCCCUUCAGUACAGAGAACUAGAGGGUCACCUUUAUUGUUACGUCCAACACCACAUUGAUGAUUCGUGCUUUAUUUUUUUAAACGUUACCUGAAACAAAAACUUAUCUAUGCAUAUAUGAAUGUAUGUACAAUAUCGACUCUUGUAUAUUGACCAUAAGUUAAAAACUUUCAACUCUUUUUCUCUCUAUAAAACAAUUACUUCGUAGUCCGGAUCUUCGUUUUUGUUAAGAUAUACUUGCCCGUAUACUGUCCAUGCAUUGUAGAAUAUGCUUGCGAUUUUGUAACAAUCAAAUAUUUUGAUCGCUAAUUUAUUAUUAAAAAAAAAAACACAAAACUACAUUUUUCAAUCCCAAGUGAAAAUGUCAGUGAUUGUAAGGCUAAUAA
rnacentral:misc_RNA from 1 species